CGGGGGCUGGGGAGAGCGCGCGCAAGUGGAGGGAGAUGGCGGCCAGGAAGGAGGAACUCCUGCUGCGGAGCCGGGGUCGAGUCGCGUGGACGAUCAUCGCGCAUGCUGCGGCUCGCAUGCGUCCCACAUCCUGCACUCGCUCGGUAUUCAUGUCGGCCACGGAACGUUUUUUGGAUCUGUUGCAUAAUCCUUAUGUGAAAUGUGGCAUUGCUACAACUGCUUUGUUUGGGCUUGGAAGAGGGAUUAACAGACUUGUCUUGAAGGGCAUCGAGCAAACUGGCUCAUCAGUUAUGUAAUGAAGUGAUGCAAGUCACGGAGGCUGACAUUGAAGAAUUUGAAGCUAAAUAUAGAGGGUCAGAUUCUGAGAAAACGGACUUGAAGGAACUCUACACAAAAUAUAAGGGCAACAUGAACAGGAAUAAUUAUCUCUUAUAUCAUAUUGUAAAAUCUGAAACAGUUCUCAUGUAGAUAGUUAGCUUGCAUUUUACGCUACAAUUACCUCAGAUCACUUCUUGUU